AAAGUCGUAACAAGGUCUCCGUAGGUGAACCUGCGGAGGGAUCAUUACAGGAUUUUAUAACCCACAACAAGUGUUUCUUUCUUUCGAGGGGAGACACUUUAACCAAACGAUCACAACCAAGGAAAAAGAGAAUGAUUUUUGGGGUGCUCUUGAGGAUAUUUUUAUUCGCUUGAGCGGGGGGGAAAUAAUAAGUGUUUGCCUGAUAAUUGGUUGACUUGGAAACUAAAUACAAACAUACAACUUUCAACAACGGAUCUCUUGGCUCUC
rnacentral:misc_RNA from 1 species